rnacentral:rRNA from 1 species
GAUGAACGCUGGCGGCGUGCCUAAUACAUGCAAGUCGAGCGAACAGACGAGGAGCUUGCUCCUUCGACGUUAGCGGCGGACGGGUGAGUAACACGUAGGUAACCUACCUCUAAGACUGGGAUAACUUCGGGAAACCGGAGCUAAUACCGGAUAAUAUUUCGAACCGCAUGGAUCGAUAGUGAAAGAUGGCUUUGCUAUCACUUAUAGAUGGUCCGGCGCCGUAUUGGCUAGUUGGUAAGGUAACCGCCUACCAAGGCAACGAUACGUAGCCGACCGGAGAGGGUGAUCCGCCACACCGGAACUUGGACACGGGCCAGACUCCUACGGGAGGCAGCAGUGGGGAAUCUUGGCCAAUGGGCGCAAGCCUGACCCGGCCAUACCGCGUGGGUUAAGAAGGCCUUCGGGUUGGAAAACCCUUUUUUUUGGAAAGAAAAAAAGCAGGUUAAUACCCCGCUGUCCUGACGGUACCCAAAGAAUAAGCCCCGGCUAACCUCGUG